rnacentral:rRNA from 1 species
UACGUAGGUGGCGAGCGUUGUCCGGAAUCAUUGGGCGUAAAGAGCGCGUAGGUGGCUUGUCAGGUCUGAUGUGAAAUCCUGGGGCUCAACUCCAGAACUGCAUCGGAAACCGGCUUGCUAGAGUCUGGGAGAGGAGAGUGGAAUUCCUGGUGUAGCGGUGAAAUGCGUAGAUAUCAGGAGGAACACCGGUAGCGAAGGCGGCUCUCUGGAACAGUACUGACACUGAGGCGCGAAAGCGUGGGUAGCAAACGGG